UGGUGGAGUGAUUUGUCUGGUUAAUUCCGUUAACGAACGAGACCUCGGCCUACUAAAUAGUCCGGUCUUCCUUUCGGGGAAGGCUGGGACUUCUUAGAGGGACUAUCGGUGUGUAGCCGAUGGAAGUUCGAGGCAAUAACA
rnacentral:rRNA from 1 species